AUUGCUUCGCGGCCUUUUGGCUAAGAUCAAGUGUAGUACAUAUGUGUGCAAAUAUAUAUAUAUAUAUAUAUAUAUAUAUAUAUAUAUAUAUAUAUAUCCUAUUUCAAGACCAAGAAGUUGAUCUGAA
rnacentral:snRNA from 1 species